AACGAACGCUGGCGGCAGGCCUAACACAUGCAAGUCGAGCGGACCUUUCGGGGUCAGCGGCGGACGGGUGAGUAACGCGUGGGAAUAUGCCCUUCUCUACGGAAUAGUCCUGGGAAACUGGGGGUAAUACCGUAUACGCCCUUUGGGGGAAAGAUUUAUCGGGGAAGGAUUAGCCCGCGUUGGAUUAGGUAGUUGGUGGGGUAAUGGCCUACCAAGCCGACGAUCCAUAGCUGGUUUGAGAGGAUGAUCAGCCACACUGGGACUGAGACACGGCCCAGACUCCUACGGGAGGCAGCAGUGGGGAAUCUUAGACAAUGGGGGCAACCCUGAUAUAGCCAUGCCGCGUGAGUGAUGAAGGCCUUAGGGUUGUAAAGCUCUUUCAGCUGGGAAGAUAAUGACGGUACCAGCAGAAGAAGCCCCGGCUAACUCCGUG
rnacentral:rRNA from 1 species